rnacentral:rRNA from 1 species
GACGAACGCUGGCGGCGUGCUUAACACAUGCAAGUCGAACGGAAAGGCCCUGCUUUUGUGGGGUGCUCGAGUGGCGAACGGGUGAGUAACACGUGAGUAACCUGCCCUUGACUUUGGGAUAACUUCAGGAAACUGGGGCUAAUACCGGAUAGGAGCUCUUGCUGCAUGGUGGGGGUUGGAAAGUUUCGGCGGUUGGGGAUGGACUCGCGGCUUAUCAGCUUGUUGGUGGGGUAGUGGCUUACCAAGGCUUUGACGGGUAGCCGGCCUUGGCGGGUGACCGGCCACAUUGGGACUGAGAGACGGCCCAGACGCCUACGGGAGGCAGCAGUGGGGAAUAUUGCACAAUGGGCGGAAGCCUGAUGCAGCAACGCCGCGUGCGGGAUGACGGCCUUCGGGGUGUAAACCGCUUUCGCCUGUGACGAAGCGUGAGUGACGGUAAUGGGUAAAGAAGCACCGGCUAACUACGUG